rnacentral:rRNA from 1 species
AGGGCAAGUCUGGUGCCAGCAGCCGCGGUAAUUCCAGCUCCAAUAGCGUAUAUUAAAGUUGUUGCAGUUAAAAAGCUCGUAGUUGAAUUUCGGGAUCAAUUUACUGGUCGUGCAAUCGUACGUACUGGUUUUAUUGAUUCCUCUCUUCUGAAGAACUAUGAUGUCAUUAAUUUGGUGUCAUAGGGAAUCAGGACUGUUACUUUGAAAAAAUUAGAGUGUUUAAAGCAGGCUCACGCUUGAAUACAUUAGCAUGGAAUAACGAAAUAGGACGUUUGAUUCUAUUUUGUUGGUUUCUAGGAUCGACGUAAUGAUUAAUAGGGAUAGUUGGGGGCAUUAGUAUUCAAUUGUCAGAGGUGAAAUUCUUGGAUUUAUUGAAGACUAACUACUGCGAAAGCAUUUGCCAAGGAUGUUUUCAUUAAUCAAGAACGAAAGUUAGGGGAUCGAAGACGAUCAGAUACCGUCGUAGUCUUAACCAUAAACUAUGCCGACUAGGGAUCGGAUGAUGUUAAUUUUUUAAUGACUCAUUCGGCGCCUUACGGGAA